UGCUUAAACGGCUCAGGCAGGCUCC
rnacentral:piRNA from 1 species